CGGGCGUCUUAACAUGCAAGUCGAACGAUUAAAGCACCUUCGGGUGUGUAUAAAGUGGCGAACGGCUGAGUAACACGUGGGCAACCUGCCCCUUUCAUUGGGAUAGCCACGGGAAACCGCGGAUAAUACCGAAUACUUCGAGACUUCCGCAUGGAAGACUCGAGAAAGCUCCGGCGGAGAGGGAUGGGCCCGCGGCCUGUUAGCUUGUUGGUGGGGUAACGGCCUACCAAGGCAAUGAUGGGUAGCUGGGUUGAGAGACCGACCAGCCAGAUUGGGACUGAGACACGGCCCAGACUCCUACGGGAGGCAGCAGUGGGGAAUCUUGCACAAUGGGCGAAAGCCUGAUGCAGCGACGCCGCGUGCGGGACGAAGGCCUUCGGGUUGUAAACCGCUUUCAGCAGGGACGAGGCGAAAGUGACGGUACUGCAGAAGAAGUCCGGCUAAUAC
rnacentral:rRNA from 2 species